GGCGGACGCGGGUGCCGGUAAAGAGUCCGGAGCUGCCAAAGUCACCCAAGCUGACCCCGCAGGAGAAGCUCCGGCUCAGGAUGCAGAAGGCGCUCAACAGGCAGUUCAAGGCCGACAAGAAGGCGGCGCAGGAGAAGAUGCUGCAGCAGGAGCAUGAGAGACAGG